ACUACAGUCAGCUGAAAACUGUGAGCACAGCGAUUGUAGAAACGUCUCCAGAGGGAUGUCUGACUAUAUUUAGGAAAUCUCAUGUAAAAAAAUGUUGAUCCACAAGUACAUAACUACUACAGUCAAAAAGUGAAAAAAAGCAAAGGAAAAAGUACCAAACAGGUACCACAAUGUUAUUAACUAUUUGGAGAAUCUUACAAGGAUCGAUAGGUCGUAUGACUCCGUUAGAGAAAGUACGGCUGAAGAACUUCGCAAUGACUCUCGGGGAGUCAUUAAAAAAGAAUGGCAGAAAACCAAGACAGUUCCAUGUGUCACGUAUGACUAAAGAUUACGAGGGUUGACACGCAAUUCGUCAACAAGAUGUACAAAAAUUCAUUGACGGUAUUGUUCUCGGAAUGGCCAAUUCUUACACACGUCAAAGCUGCUGAUAUCAUUGAGAGCGAUUUCUCGAUAUUAAAUCUAACUUCAGUGAUUUUGGGCUUCCCUGUUCUGGCGAAAUUCCUGAGAGAAUUGCGGAAAAUCCGUCCACUCCAUGCACGUGAUAUUGAGGCUGCGAGAUUUAUUGGAAUUUUCAAUUCAGAAUUUUUUUAUUUAUUAGAAUUUUCAAUU